rnacentral:rRNA from 1 species
CCACACGCAUUGUGUAAUGACCAACUUCUAGCUAGGUUUUAAAAAUCUAGCCUAGAAAAUGACUCAAUAGCACCCACUCUGGGUGCCAAAAUUCUCACAACACCAAUGUUCUAUAUUAUGUAAGCUAGGAAACUAGGCCAUAGAAAAUAAGUAUAAAGGGGUGGCAAAAGAUGGUGCCAGCAGUCGCGGUUAUACCAAUACCCCAAGCUAAUUUUAGCAAAUCGGAAUAGUUUACUAUUUAUAGACUACAAAAUUAACUUUUAGCGUAAAAAACAAAUUAUAACUAUACCCUAUCCAGUCAUACUUAAACUAUUCCAACAAACCAUAACCUCAGAACUCGGAUCAGAUACCCGACUACUGUAUGGCUCAACUCAUAAAAGAAUACUAAAAGCGAAAGCUUAAACCUCAAACAAUGUGGCGGUGCUUUACUCCUCAUCAGGGGAUCCUGUGGCUUAAUUCGAUAAUCCACGAAAAUCUAAGCUAUUCUUGUUUACAGCUUGUGUAUGGCCGUUUAUGCUUGCUCAAAAAAGAAAAAACAGGAAGCAAUAGGGACAACUUCCCAGAAAUUCAGGUGACAUACAGCCAAUGAAAAGCAGAUCCAUGGGAUACAAAUAAACACAUUAUCAAAUUUAAAGUUUAAAACUUUAAUGAAGGAGGACUUGAAAGUAAGAUUUAACCUUAAAGAAAAAAAAUCUGAAUAAGAACUAAAGCGCGCACAAAUCGCCCGUCACUCCGACAAGUAAGGUAGGAUAAGUCGUAACAUAGU